rnacentral:rRNA from 1 species
CGCGUAGGCGGCCUCGUAAGUCCCGUGUGAAAGCCCCCGGCUCAACUGGGGAAUUGCACGGGAAACUGCGGGGCUUGAGUUCGGGAGAGGGAAGCGGAAUUCCGGGUGUAGCGGUGAAAUGCGUAGAUAUCCGGAGGAACACCAGUGGCGAAGGCGGCUUCCUGGACCGACACUGACGCUGAGGCGCGAAAGCUAGGGGAGCAAAACGG